rnacentral:lncRNA from 10 species
CUCGAGGUCCAGCCCGAAAGCCUGCGCCCUGGGCGUCCCUGCUUCGGCCCCCAGAGGGGGGUGCGCUGCUCGCUCCCCUCGCUCCACCUCCCGCGUAGCCUGCGGGCCCCUGGCGGCCCAGGGCAUGGGGCAGAGACGCCAUGCCGGCUGAUACACACGCCCGGAGGAGGUGAGGGAGGAAGCCACUUGAAAAUAAACAGGUGCGGCCGGCGGGGGACAGGGAAAGAGAUCACAGCGAAGACCCAGAAGAAACAAAAGGCAAGCGAAUAUUUUUAUAUCCAACUGCCUACUGGACACCAACCACGUGGACAAGUCCUGGUUGCCUCAAACUCAACAUGUUCAAAGCUGAAUACAUCACCUGCUCUCCCAAAUAUGCUCCUCUCCUGCUGUUCCCAAAAUCAGAAAAUGGCUUCACGAUCAGCUCAGUCAUCUCAAGAGCAAAUGCUGAGAGUCACCCUUGAAUCCUUCUGUUGCCUCCACAUUCAAACCAUCACCAUAUCCUUGAUUUCUCUACUGUAUAUUUUUCAUAUGUGUCCACUUCUUUCCAUCUGCACUCUCAUUAGUGAAGGCCACCAACAUCUCUCAUCUGAAUGCCUGCAAUACCUCCUCACAGGUCACCAGGCAUCUAGUUUUGCCCCUGUCCUGCCCUUCCCUCAUCUAGAGUGAAGCCAGUAGGAACCUUCCAAAAUGAAAAUCUGAUUAAGUCACUUCUUUGCUUAAAACUUUUUUAUGGUUUCACAGCCCAUGAAAAUAGUAUCCAAUGUCUUUAAGUGCAUUGCAAAACUCUUCAAGGCCUCCCUCUCCAAUCCUUCUAGUCCUCCCUCCCCAGUUUCAUCACUCAUUAUAUACCCCAUAACCUUUAUGCCAGAGUUGUCAUGAACCUCCUCCCAUUCCUUCAGUAUUUUAUGUCUUUUUGCCUUCAGGUCUUUACACAUGUUGUUCCUUCAUAUUGAAAUAUUCUUUCCUCUCCCCAUUGCCUGGUAGAUUAACUCCUGUUUAUCCUUCAGAUGUCAGCCUUAAUGUCACUCUCUCAAGGUGAACAUCCCUGAAUUCUCUGAUGCAUUACAUAGGAUACCGUUUUUAUUCUGCCAUUGUAUGUGUCACCCUUUAUUGUUAAGAAACAUUUAAAUAAGAAAUAUUUAAUUGUUAAUAAACAGUUUUAAAUAAAAAAUAUUUAUUU